CCUACGGGAGGCAGCAGUGGGGAAUAUUGCACAAUGGGGGAAACCCUGAUGCAGCGACGCCGCGUGAGUGAAGAAGUAUUUCGGUAUGUAAAGCUCUAUCAGCAGGGAAGAAAAUGACGGUACCUGAUUAAGAAGCCCCGGCUAACUACGUGCCAGCAGCCGCGGUAAUACGUAGGGUGAAAGCGUUAUCCGGAUUUACUGGGUGGAAAGGGAGCGUAGACGGCAGCACAAGUCUGGAGUGAAAUGCCGGGGCUUAACCCCGGAACUGCUUUGGAAACUGUGCAGCUAGAGUGCAGGAGAGGUAAGUGGAAUUCCUAGUGUAGCGGUGAAAUGCGUAGAUAUUAGGAGGAACACCGAUUGCGAAGGCAGCUCACUGGACUGCAACUGGCACUGAGGCUCGAAAGUGUGGGUAUCAAACAGGAUUAGAUACCCUAGUAGUC
rnacentral:rRNA from 1 species